rnacentral:rRNA from 1 species
UACGAAGGGGGCUAGCGUUGCUCGGAAUCACUGGGCGUAAAGGGUGCGUAGGCGGGUCUUUAAGUCAGGGGUGAAAUCCUGGAGCUCAACUCCAGAACUGCCUUUGAUACUGAAGAUCUUGAGUCCGGGAGAGGUGAGUGGAACUGCGAGUGUAGAGGUGAAAUUCGUAGAUAUUCGCAAGAACACCAGUGGCGAAGGCGGCUCACUGGCCCGGUACUGACGCUGAGGC